GACGAACGCUGGCGGCGUGCUUAACACAUGCAAGUCGAACGGAGUGGCGAACGGGUGAGUAACACGUGGGUGACCUGCCCGGCACUUCGGGAUAAGCCUGGGAAACUGGGUCUAAUACCGGAUAGUGUGGGAUGGGCCCGCGGCCUAUCAGCUUGUUGGGGGGGUAAUGGCCUACCAAGGCGGCGACGGGUAGCCGGCCUGAGAUGGUGGACGGCCACAUUGGGACUGAGGCACGGGCCAGGCUCCUCCGGGAGGCAGCAGUGGGGAAUAUUGCACGAUGGGCGGAAGGCUGAUGCAGCGACGCCGGGUGGGGGAUGACGGCCUUCGGGUUGUAAACGCCUUUCACCAUCGACGCGGUAGAUGGAGAAGAAGCAACGGCUAACUUCGUGCCAGCAGCCGCGGUAAUUC
rnacentral:rRNA from 1 species